AUGGUGGUGGCUGACCAAGGGCAAGAGAUGGUGGUGGCUGACCAUGGGCAAGAGAUGGUGGUGGCUGACCAUGGGCAAGAGAUGGUGGUGGCUGAGGAUGACCUAGCGAUGGUCGUGCCCGUCCUGCCUGAAGGUGGCCUCGCGAUGGUGGUGGUGCCUGACAAUGACCACGCACCGGUGGUGGCGCCGGCGAUCCCACAGCUGGGCGACAUGACCACGCCAAUUGUGGUAGAAGACUACAUCCCACAGCUACCUCCACCGCCUCGCCGCUCUUGGCGCAUCAGGCUGAGGAAGGAGAAGGAGAAGAACAAUGAGAACUGA
rnacentral:rRNA from 1 species